CCUUACUGCUAUCGAGAUGGGACUAAGCCAGGCCAGUCGAACGACCCGAACUAAGGCGGGAAGUGGCAUACUGCUCAGUAACACGUAGCUAACCUAACCUCAAGACGGAAACAACCCCGGGAAACUGGGGUCAAUUUCCGAUAGAUGUGAAAUCCUGGAAUGGUAUCACAUCCAAACGUCACCACACCAUGUUGUGCGCACGCUUGAGGAUGGGGCUGCGGCCGAUCAGGCUGUUGGUGGGGUAAUGGCCCACCAAACCUUUGACCGGUACGGGCCAUGAGAGUGGUAGCCCGGAGAUGGACACUGAGACAAGGGUCCAGGCCCUACGGGGCGCAGCCGGUACGAAACCUCCACAAUGCACGCAAGUGCGAUGGGGUUAUCUCGAGUGCUACCUUAACCGGUAGCUUUUCCAUUGUCUAAAUAGCCGUGGGAAUAAGGGGGGGGCAAGACUGGUGUCAGCCGCCGCGGUAACACCAGCCCCCCGAGUGGUAGGGAUGAUUAUUUGGCCUAAAGCGUCCGUAGCCUGCUAGGUAAAUUUCUCGUUAAAUCCAACGUCCUAAGCGUUGGGCCGCGUGAAAAACUGCCAAGCUAGAGGGUGGGAGAGGUCAGCGGUAUUCCUGGGGUAGGGGCGAAAUCCAUUGAACCCAGGAGGACCACCAGUGGCGAAGGCUGCUGACUAGAACACGCCUGACGGUCAGGGACGAAAGCUGGGGUAGCGAAUCGGAUUAGAUACCCGAGUAGUCCCAGCCGUAAACGAUGCAGACUAGGUGUUGGGUUGGCCACGUGCCGACUCAGUGCCACAGGGAAGCCAUUAAGUCUGCCGCCUGGGAAGUACGGCCGCAAGGCUGAAAC
rnacentral:rRNA from 1 species